CGGGUGAGUAACGCGUAUCCAACCUUCCGUACACUCAGGGAUAGCCUUUCGAAAGAAAGAUUAAUACCUGAUGGUAUGAUGAGAUUGCAUGAUAGCAUCAUUAAAGAUUCAUCGGUGUACGAUGGGGAUGCGUUCCAUUAGGUAGUAGGCGGGGUAACGGCCCACCUAGCCUACGAUGGAUAGGGGUUCUGAGAGGAAGGUCCCCCACAUUGGAACUGAGACACGGUCCAAACUCCUACGGGAGGCAGCAGUGAGGAAUAUUGGUCAAUGGACGAGAGUCUGAACCAGCCAAGUAGCGUGAAGGAUGAAGGUCCUACGGAUUGUAAACUUCUUUUAUAAGGGAAUAAAACCUCCCACGUGUGGGAGCUUGUAUGUACCUUAUGAAUAAGCAU
rnacentral:rRNA from 1 species